CUCGGUGUCCCCGGGACCCCGCGCCUGGCCAGCUCAGGGGCCUGAGGGGCCCGGGGCCGACUCCGCACAAUGGAGGGUUCCACUGCGCAGGAAACACGUGUCCUGCUUUAUGCCUUCAUGAUACUUAACCGCUCUCAGAAGUUGUCUUGUUGAUAUAUUCGUUUGCCUCGUCCCUCCCAAAUGUAAACGGCAUCGGAGCGGGGACCAUGUCUUGACCACCACCUUCUCCUCGAGGAGAUAUUCUGAUCAGAUACUGGAUGGGAGACAAGCGUACCUUUGUUUGCAAAGUAGAAUGAUGAUUGUGACCAACGAUAUUAACCACAGGUACUGGGUCAUUAUGGAAGAAUGCAGUCAUCGUGCUAAAGGUGAAGCUGCCAUCCUGUACGUCAUCCCCAGACAUCAACCACGACCCGGAUGGCUGAGAGGAUGGAUGCAAAGAUUCGGGUCUCUGAGAGCAUAAUGGAACUGCUGAAUUCAUCCGGGUUGCCCUCCUCCGGGUUCUCAUUACAUAAGGAAAGGAACACCCCGGUUUAUUUAGGGCAAAGCUGUUCAGAUUUCUGUUACCCACAGCAGAAUGGGCAUUUCUGGAAACAGGAACUCCUUGACGGAUGCAUCUUCAGAUAAUGUGCAGACAUUCAAUUACACAGUGAAAAAAGGAUGCGUUUCACAGUUUUGACUGGGACAAUUUUAUUUAGAAUGUUUAUUGUUGACCCAUCUCUGAAAGCACGUAGUCACUGUUGUGAAGAGAACAGGGAUUGCUGAGGCAAGAAAUGAUGACACAAUCUCUCUGGGUUCUCAAGAAGAACACGGGGUUUUGAACCGAAAAUGUGAAAGCCGGCCCUGCUGGCAGCCAGGCCGUUGGUUUCCCAAUCUGCACGGAAGCGAUGUUCAGGCAAGCCCCUCACCCUCAGAAACGUUUGGAAGGAGAGACAGAACAAGGCCAAACACACAGGUGACUAACUGACUCCCUCUUCUGAUGAAUCUGAGUGACUGCUCUCCCUUCACCAGUUACAAGCAACUCUAGUGCCCCUGUUUUCUAGAUAACGUUAGAUUCCAGUUACCAAAAUACUCUGUUCUUCACAGCAUCUAGUCUAGGGUUGCCCCCCACCUUCCCAAUCCCUCCUGAGAAUCACCCAGCACUGGGCAGGUCCUGUGAGAAGCCCCUGCCAGCUCCCUCUCCUGAGCCUCUGGGGCCAUCCUCUCCUGCUGCAGCAAGCUCAGUAAACCUAACAUCUUUUUUUCUUAGACUGCAGGUGAGUGUCUGGUAAUCUUUGGUCAGCGGGCUUUAACAGAACAUCCCAAAGCCAGAGUUUUAAGCCCCUCCCACCUCUAGUGGUCCAAAUAGAGGUUCAGGAACGGGUGCCAGGAGCUCCCGGCAGACCGCAGCAUCCUGGGGACUGGAACUGUCGCUAAUUCACUCAUCCUUGCCCUCAAAUAACUUGUUCUCCACACCUGUCUGUCUGUCCUUCCAGCAAUGACUGGAGGGGUAAGGAAAAGGACAGUGGACCCUGAGACAGCUGUCACUACCAUGCCCACAUCCCCUACCAGAGUUCUUGGGAAGCUCCCCUCUCCUGUUUGCUCUCUGUGUAGUCAUCAUUCAGUCCUGACUGGGUCCAUGUGGAAAAAAGAGGUAAAAUCUACAGGGAGGAAACAGUGUGACCCUUGCAUCAGGCAGGGAAGGAGGGAGUUUCUUCUAGGGUGUGCUUAGAGGGAAGAGGAGAUUUUCCCAGGGUUGGGCUGGCCUGAAAUUCAUCGGCACUAGAUGUAGGGGGUUCAUUGAGCACUGGCCCUGCCAUCAUUUGCAGGUGUUUCGGAAACAUGUUCUGAUCAGAAAAGACAUCCCAAAUGAAGAUUAUAACUAAAAGGGUCAAGGGAUGUUUUCCAAUGAGAGACUCUAUGGAGUAGGACGUCUGAAAACAAGCUUCAAAUAGCUUUUGAAGGUGAACAGGACGAUGAUAAAAAACUGAGUCCUCAAUGUGGGCUGUAUCAGUGCUUCUCAACCCGACUACAUAUUAGAAUCAGCUGGGAGAGUUAAAAGACUGCCUGUGCCUGAGACCCUACUCCAGUCCAAUCAUAUUAGAAUUUUUCAACCAAGGAGAUAAUAAAAAGCCUCAGGAAGCUC